rnacentral:sRNA from 18 species
GUCAGCACCCCUGCUUAAAGGCUAGGGGCUUCAUGCCUCAAGCUUUUAGGAUUAGCAGACCCGAUGGCGUGGGAGAGGUUCGUACUCACUAUUACCACGCAGCCGUUACAGAGAAGUGUUCAAGUUCUCACCUUCGGAUACGUGAUGCCAGUCCGUCGCUCUGAA